rnacentral:rRNA from 1 species
AGCGUAUAUUAAGUUGUUGCAGUUAAAAAGCUCGUAGUUGAAUUUCGGGAUUAGNACGUUGGUCGUGCCUUCGGUACGUACUGGUGNUACUGAUUCCUACCUUCUGACGAACCAUCAUGUCAUUAAUUUGGUGUGGNGGGGAAUCAGGACUGUUACUUUGAAAAAAUUAGAGUGUUUAAAGCAGGCUCGCGCUUGAAUACAUUAGCAUGGAAUAAUGAAAUAGGACGUUGAUCCUAUUUUGUUGNUUUCUAGGAUUGACGUAAUGAUUAAUAGGGAUAGUUGGGGGCAUUAGUAUUCAAUUGUCAGAGGUGAAAUUCUUGGAUUUAUUGAAGACUAACUACUGCGAAAGCAUUUGCCAAGGAUGUUUUCAUUAAUCAAGAACGAAAGUUAGGGGAUCGAAGACGAUCAGAUACCGUCGUAGUCUUAACCAUAAACUAUGCCGACUAGGGAUCGGAUGAUGUUAUUUUUAAUGACUCAUUC